UGCCGGGGGGUGCUGGGCGCUGCCUCGCUCCUGCCUGCCCCCCCUUCCAAAACGGCCCGGCGGGAAGGAGGGAUGCUCCUGCCGUGGGCCCACACCAUGGCGAAGGGCUGUCCUCCUGCAGCCCCAACGUGCUGUUCUUAAAUGGCCACGGAGAGGGCACAGCCGGUCGGUGGGAUUUGGCCGGGUCCUCUGUGUGCUUGGACAUCCCCCUGCCUGUCCAGCCUUGCUGCUGGAUACGUGACCCCAGCCUGUGCUGCAAGCCCCGCUCCCCGUUCCAGCCCAGCGAGGCACCUGCUUUUCUGGCCAAACCAGACUCCACAGCAGCCAGGUCGGGAGUCUGGGUGUGAUGGUAUGAGCACACGGUGCCCUUCCCUGAAGCUCCUGCCUGCUCACAGCUCAGUCUUGUCCUGCUCCCGGAGCCUGCCGGCACCCUCGAGAGUGGAGCAGGAUGUGGGAAGGGAGAAGUCGUGGCUGAGCAGGGCUGAGAGAUGCAGCUCUACAAGGACAUCCGUCUCCUGCACUGCCCAUUCCCAAGCCAAAGGGGCUGAGUUAGUGUGUAGCAAGGGGACAGGGGCAUAAUAAGGGAUGCAGGGAGGUUUCACAGAGGCCAGAAGUGUUUUCCCUAACUCUGUGUUUGUUUGUGCUCAGGUCAGAGCCUUCCCAGCCCCGGAGAGGUGCUUGCUGCUGAGGAGCUGCUUACUUUGGCCUCAACUGAGAGGCCUCAGCCCAGGGUAAAGCAGCCCCAAACACUGCCCUGUUUGUGCUUCGGGAAGGGGGGUUUGUGGCUGUCCUGUCACGGUGGGAGCAGGCAAAAGAGCUGAAGGUUGUUUUCACCCCAGUGCCUGCCACAGGGGAUUCUCCAAACAGGAUCCCACCUCAUCCAGAUACGUGCAGAGCAGCAGGUCAGAUUCCCUGGAUCAGGUCUGUGUUCUGGUCCCAGGGAAUCCUGGGCCACCAGCGGUGUGUGAGCCAGGAGGUGCAUCCCCUGUGCAGCGAUGUCCUUGCUGUGGGCAGCCCAUGACACCGAGGGAUGCUCCUGGGCCCCUCCAGCACAGCUCCUGCUCACGGCCUCACCACCCAGCCCCCUGAGCCCUCCUGUCCUCCACAGCAUCUUCCACCGCCCAGGAAACCUUCUUGCAAGCUCAGGUUGGACAUUAUGGGAACACUAGAAGCUCCUGGUGGGAAUGUCACUGGUAUCAGUAUCCAAGCUCCCUGUCCCAGGGCACAACCUGCCCUAUGGAGAGGAUCCUGCCCCAGGAUGCAAGCUGGAAAUUUGCUGCAGACCCCAUAGAUGCAGGCCCCUACUCAGGAUGGAGAGGACCUAAAUGCUGGUGAGUUGCCAUUUUCCCUUGUGGCAGCAUCUGAGGGACAAGGGGACAGGGUGGGCAAGACUUAGGAGCUUACGAGGGAGAAUAGGGACAAUAGGAAGGGAGACAGUGGGAAGGAGCAGCCAGAGAAGGGGGAAACUUGUACCCUCUCAGACAACGAGCUGAGAUGAGGAGGUGCAAAGGCUGCUGGAGAAACCCAGUAAUGCUGCUCAAGGCUGGGCAGAGCAGUCCAGGAAAUUGGGAUGGGGUCUGAGGAGCCCAGGCUGGACUGGCAUCUGCCAGGGCAAGGUUUAGGAUUCAAUGAGCAGAGGGAGAAGGAUGUGACGACUGCUGUGGAACUCGGUUGAGCACCUGGGGUAGGAGAGGUGCGAUGUGGAAAGGCACACGCUUGCAGGGGCGUGACCUCUGGAAGUCACAGCACAUGGGGCAGCUGUGAAACUGAGCUCCCUCAGUCCUGCCAUUUCCAGACGGUUUACAUGGAUCAGGGAAGCCUCAUGGCAAAACACCCUCCUCACUGCCCACUCUGGGCUCUGGGGAGAGGGACAAGCCAGCCUAGCCAUGGCCCUGCCCAGCUCCAGGGCAGGGGGCAGCAGGGGCCUGUUCUGUAGGGGAACUCCAUGAAGGCCAAGGUAUCACGUAGUAAAGAUGCUUUUGUUUUCUAAUCUGCUUAAAAAAAAGUUUCCCAACCCUAGGAAACUGGAUAUCAGCAGUGUGCUCUGCCAGCUGCAGGGUGCUCCAAGGUGGGCCAAGUCCAACCUUCAGCUGCCCAGGUAAGCUCAGCUCAACCCUCAGCUGUAUGUGGCACGUCCCUAAGGCAAAGACACAGGGAGAAAACCAAACGAAACCAUUGCCUGUGGAAUCCGAAUAUGGGUUGGCAUGGAAGCUGAAAGGUGAAAAAUUCCAAGAUUCAGGAGUGAGGAGUCUUACGGUGGCAAAACACUGAAAAAUCCAACUUGCUGGAGGGCAAAAGCAAUGUAGCACUGGGGAGAGCUGGUGACCAGGGUGGUUGUGGCUGGAGCCACACACCAGGUCCCCCGUCUCUCCAUCAGCCUGAACCUCAUAUGGCAGCCACUUCCUUCUCUUUGCAGCUCUGGGACACAGAGCAAGAGGUGUGAAGGGACCUGGAAUUUCUUAACAGGGAUUUUAUUGUCUGCCCAGGGAAUAUUUUUGUUCUGUAAAUGAGGAGGGGGAUGGGGGAUGAAACACUUUUAUAGGAAGUGUAGCUGGGGGAAAAUUUGGUGUGCACAGGUCAAAAAGAGGUUGUAACUCACUGCUUUAGCUGGUGCACUGCGAGAGGAUCCUCCUCUCUGUGCUCACCUUCCCAUUUGCCUGGUAGGAAAGCCUUUGUUCAAACCCUAACCCUCAGCCUGGAAACACUGUGAUUUCACAGGAGGUAUUCACCCCAGGAGCCCUUCCUGCCCUCUCCCCAUGAGCCUCCAAGCUGGAGCCCGUGUGCUUGGGAAGAGCAGUGUGAUGUUGGGGCUGAGCACUUCUUCCUGCAACAUGAGCUUGUCCUACUCUGGAACACAGGGAAGGAGGGUCCCUGGGCCCAGCCCUGCAAGAUGUGCAUGUUCCCUUGGGAACACGGGGGGCCCUGAGGAGUGACAUUCCUGCUACCAGCCACCCUCGCACUCGUCUCCCUGUUUUUAAAUAUCUGCCAGGGAGGGGAUGGAGCCAGGUGGGAAUUUAGUUUAUUCUAGUAGUUGGGAAAAAGGGGAAGGGAAACAGCUGAGCCUGUGGUAUUCCCUGUGUAUGCCUGGCUGGCCUUCUCAUCUCUCAUCCCCACCACUUGGAUCUAGUGGAGGUGCUCCUGCAGAGGCUGUGCUGCUCUCCCAGCACAUUCCUGGCACUGCUGACCUGUGGGAUCACCUGCUUUGGCCUUGGUUUGCAUGUGGCCGUGGAGAGAACCCAGCAGUAGGUUGCACCGGGUGCUUUCCCAGCCCUCGGGUGAGAGGGUGAAGAGGGCAGGGGAAGCUUCAGCCCACGCUGUCCUCCCAGAAAUGAGAACCAAAAAAAGCUUUACACCUCCAUCAUGAAGUUUUGCCGUUUCUCAGUUUCUGCAGUGAAAUUUGCUUUUUCUUUUCCCAGGGGGGCUCAGACAGCAGCUGUCGGGAAGAACCUGGGGGGACCAAGGCGCCCACCACCUCCGUUCACCCCACUGGAAGCCCCUCAUCCCACACCACAUUUCCAUCAUGUGAUCAAGAGUUAAUUUUGACUGUCUGUGUCUCAGCUGCCGGGAGUGUUUGGACUUUCCCUGUUCCGCCAGCCCUGUCAGAUGGCAGGAGAAGCUCCUCGGCUGCCAACCACGUUUGUCUUCUCCAGCAGGCAGUGGCCUCUGCACUGGUGUCACAGCACUGAGCUGAGAUGCUGCCAAAGGUUGUACCCAGAACACCUGCCAGCUGGGCUAGGAGAAGGUGGGUCCCUUCUUGAAGCCAUUUUCUAUCCAUUCCCAAGCACUGGCUGUAGGAAAUGGUGUUUUCUGCCAUGCAGAGGCUUCGUGGUUCUGAAACAGGGCCAGGAGAUGCUGAGGCUUCCCGCUGUACCCUGCCUGGGCAUCCCUGCUGGAGCAAUCACUUAAUCUCUUGUUUCUAGGCAAAGUUGAAAUUUGAAUGAAGCCACAUGAAAUGAGCAAAUCAAAUACAAAUGUUUUCAAAAGUG